GUCCUUCGGGACGGAGAGAGCGGCGUACGGGUGCGGAACACGUGUGCAACCUGCCUUUAUCUGGGGGAUAGCCUUUCGAAAGGAAGAUUAAUACCCCAUAANAUAUNNNANGGCAUCNUNNNAUAUUGAAAACUCCGGUGGAUAGAGAUGGGCACGCGCAAGAUUAGAUAGUUGGUGAGGUAACGGCUCACCAAGUCAGUGAUCUUUAGGGGGCCUGAGAGGGUGAUCCCCCACACUGGUACUGAGACACGGACCAGACUCCUACGGGAGGCAGCAGUGAGGAAUAUUGGACAAUGGGUGAGAGCCUGAUCCAGCCAUCCCGCGUGAAGGACUAAGGCCCUAUGGGUUGUAAACUUCUUUUAUACUGGGAUAAACCUACUUACGUGUAAGUAGCUGAAGGUACAGUAUGAAUAAGCACCGGCUAACUCCGUGCCAGCAGCCGCGGUAAUACGGAGGGUGCAAGCGUUAUCCGGAUUUAUUGGGUUUAAAGGGUCCGUAGGCGGAUCCGUAAGUCAGUGGUGAAAUCUCAUAGCUUAACUAUGAAACUGCCAUUGAUACUGCGGGUCUUGAGUGAGAUUGAGGUAGCUGGAAUAAGUAGUGUAGCGGUGAAAUGCAUAGAUAUUACUUAGAACACCAAUUGCGAAGGCAGGUUACCAAGUCUUAACUGACGCUGAGGGACGAAAGCGU
rnacentral:rRNA from 1 species